GAUGAACGCUGGCGGCGUGCCUAAUACAUGCCAGUCGAGCGAACAGACGAGGAGCUUGCUCCUCUGACGUUAGCGGCGGACGGGUGAGUAACACGUGGAUAACCUACCUAUAAGACUGGGAUAACUUCGGGAAACCGGAGCUAAUACCGGAUAAUAUAUUGAACCGCAUGGUUCAAUAGUGAAAGACGGUUUUGCUGUCACUUAUAGAUGGAUCCGCGCCGCAUUAGCUAGUUGGUAAGGUAACGGCUUACCAAGGCAACGAUGCGUAGCCGACCUGAGAGGGUGAUCGCCCACCCUGGACCUGAGACACGGUCCAGACUCCUACGGGAGGCAGCAGUAGGGAAUCUUCCGCAAUGGGCGAAAGCCUGACGGAGCAACGCCGCGUGAGUGAUGAAGGUCUUCGGAUCGUAAAACUCUGUUAUUAGGGAAGAACAAAUGUGUAAGUAACUAUGCACGUCUUGACGGUACCUAAUCAGAAAGCCACGGCUAACUACGUG
rnacentral:rRNA from 1 species